GACAGAGGAUGCAAGCGUUAUCCGGAAUGAUUGGGCGUAAAGUGUCUGUAGGUGGCUUUUCAAGUCCUACGUGAAAUCCCAGGGCUCAACCCUGGACAGGCGGUGGAAACUACCAAACUGGAGUACGGUAGGGGCAGAGGGAAUUUCCGGUGGAGCGGUUAAAUGCGUAGAGAUCGGAAAGAACACCAACGGCGAAAGCGAUCUGCUGGACCGAUCCUGACACUCAGACACGAAAGCUAGGGGAGCGAAUGGG
rnacentral:rRNA from 1 species